rnacentral:rRNA from 1 species
GAUGAACGCUAGCGGGAGGCCUAACACAUGCAAGCCGAGCGGGAUUUGUUGGUUAGCUUGCUAACUAACAAUGAGAGCGGCGUACGGGUGCGUAGCACGUGUGCAACCUGCCUUUAUCUGGGGGAUAGCCUUUCGAAAGGAAGAUUAAUACCCCAUAACAUAUUGAUUGGCAUCAGUUAAUAUUGAAAGCUCCGGCGGAUAGAGAUGGGCACGCGUAAGAUUAGCUAGUUGGCGAGGUAACGGCUCACCAAGGCUGCGAUCUUUAGGGGGCCUGAGAGGGUGAUCCCCCACACUGGUACUGAGACACGGACCAGACUCCUACGGGAGGCAGCAGUGAGGAAUAUUGGACAAUGGGUGAGAGCCUGAUCCAGCCAUCCCGCGUGAAGGACUAAGGACCUAUGGUUUGUAAACUUCUUUUAUACAGGGAUAAACCUACUCUCGUGAGGGUAGCUGAAGGUACUGUAUGAAUAAGCACCGGCUAACUCCGUG